AGAUUCUACGGGAAUACCAGAAGACUGGAGUUCCGGUAAAAUUUGGACAAUGCUGGGUGUUCUCUUGCGUCACGACCACUGUGUGCCGGGCGCUAGGCAUCCCGUGUCGCUCAGUGACGAACUUUGACUCUGCCCAUGACAAAGACGAAAGCCUGAGUAUCGAGCAGUAAUUUAAUCACAAAGGGGAUUUCCUUAAAAACAUAUCGGAUUCCGUGUGGAAUUUCCAUGUGUGGAAUGAGGUGUGGCUUGCGCGGCCGGAUCUGGAGCCAAGCUGGAAAUACGACGGUUGGCAGGUGAUCGACGCCACGCCACAGGAGACAAGUGAU